rnacentral:lncRNA from 1 species
GGGUCGCUCUGCCCUGCUGGUGUCUGGAGGUAGAGGAGGCUGUCUCUGCUGAGAACUAGACUCUGGGAAGAAGAGCCUGAGUUAACUAGAAAAGGAGACUUGGCCACAGGCAAGCACACCACCCCAUGUUCUCGUUUCUCUGGCUUCCUUGAUUUGGGGAAGUGUUGGGUUAUUUUGCCAUUUGUUAUUUGCUUAUCUAAUGCCCCUUUAUUUUUCUUUUUAGGCUUUUUUUUUUUUUAAGAAAAAAUACCCAUUCUUGAAAACACCAAGAAACAGAAAAAUUGUGAGAAGGAAAUAAAAACCAUUCACAGGCCCCCCACCCCCAUCCAGAGAUAACACUUUAUGGCUACUUUUUAGUGUUUCCUUCAAGACAUUUUUCUAUGUAAAAUUUUUUUUUCACUGAAUUGGCACCUUUCAGUGUCUCCUUUAUUAACUUACUGUAUCAUAAGCCUUGUUCCAUAUCUGUCUGCAUCCUUCAAACCUUGGCCUCUAAUGGCUUUCCAAUGCUCCAGAAUACAAAUUUGUCAGGAUGUGUUUCUUUUCUUUUCUCUUUCUUUCUUCUUCUUCUUUUUUUUUUCUUCUUCCGCUUUUUCGGGCUGAAGCUGUGCCAUAUGGAGUUUCCCAGGGGUAGGGUCAAAUCGUAGCUGCAGUUGCCAGCCUCUGUCACAGCCACAGCAAUGUGGGAUCCAAGCCACAUCUUCCACCUACACCACAGCUCAUGGCAACACCGGAUCCUUAGCCCACUGAGCAAGGCCAGGGAUGGAACCCACAUCCUCAGAUUCUAGUCGGGUCCUUACCACUGAACCCCAAUGGGAACUCCAAAACGUGUUUCUUGAUAGUGAGUUCCCUGGUGGCCUACUGGUUAAGGAUCUGGGGUUGUCACUGCUGUGAUGUGGGUUUGGUCCCUGGACUGCGAACUUGUGUAUGCCAUGGGUGCAGUCAAAAAUUUUAGUGAUUGAUUGCCCAUUCCUUUUUCCCUGGAAAGAGUCUGGCUUGAGGCUUUUGGGGUUUUUUGUUGUUUAUUUAUUCUUGCUAUAAUAAAGAACUCUGUGACAGACUUCAGGCUACAUAUCUUUCUGGAUGUGUCUUUGAUUAUUUCUUUAGCCUGUAUUCCUAGAAGCCGGAUUCCAAAGAUUCAGCUAGGCUGUGCCAGCGUGUUCUCCAGCUGAAGGUGGGGUAUCCGCAGAGAGGAGACCAAUCUAGGUGAAGCAAAUAGCCUUAAGUAAUUUAAUUCCGCCCCUGGAAGCUGGGGAUCAAAGGAAGCUGGGAAGGACCGAGCUCAGCACCCCAGCUCACAGCAGACAGUCAGCGAAGGCCCUUCCUCUUCAUUUAGAGUAAUUUUUUCCAUUUGUGAGAAUUAAGUUUACACCUGCUUUCUUCAUCUCUUUAAAUUGGCCUUCACCAGGACGCGUUGGGGAAAUUCAACACACGCGCACACAGAGUGAUCUGUUUUCAUUAUUAUUUUUGUCAUCUUGAUUUAACGGGAUCCAACCAAUUUUGUUAAGUUUUGGAAUAUUUCUGCACAAAACCGUGUCCUUACUGCACGAGAACAGACAUUUGCCUCCGUCUUCACAGGAUAAUUAGCCUCUAAAAUUAGAAGGCAAACGGUGCAUGUUCAAAUGCAUCUAAAUAAAACCCCCAGUGGGGGAAUUCAACCUUCUUGGCAGCGCCCGGCCAGCUCUGGUGCACGCUUGAUGGAGCAGGGAGCCUGAGAGGGAGCGAUGGAGGCUGGUCCCCGUGGAGCGUUCAGGGCAAAUGUCUCCGUUGCUGACGCAGUCCCUUGACUUGGUCUAAAAAUACUUGUUUCCAAAUGCAAAGGCAGAGGGCUGUGGAGACCUCCUGGGAUGUCUCCGGGGUGCCGGUCCCGUGAGGGCAGCCCCAGAGGACGUACAAGACCCCUUUAGGGUUGCUCCGUCAGCCCGCUGGUGGGCACUCCUGGCUGCGCUUGAGAAAGGUCUGACAACGUAGGGCUGAAAGGCGUUUCCUGUCUUGACAUAGCUGACCUCAAAUGUUCCAUAGCAAGCCCCCCCAUCCAGCCAUCCACCUUGCAAAUAUUUAUUUCACGACCACUAAAAGUCAUGGAUGCAGUGGGGACCUUGGAGUCUAGUGGCGUGGAAAAGUCUCCUUUAAUACGUUAAAGUCCAUCAGAUGCUGCUCCUGGCAGGCACAGCCCUUGGGCCCGUGGCUUCCCCUUGAGUGAAAGGGACAUGACAGCCUCUUGAACAGAGCUGGCACUCUGAUGGAGAAGGCAGCUGCUAAUCCAUGAGUCGCCAGCAAGUUUCUAGCGCCAAAGGGAGCUCAGCGUGCUGCGGACCUGGGAAGACACGUCUGUGUUGCAUUCUGAAAUCAGCCUUGGAAGAACCUCCAUCUGCUGUGACGUUGAAUGAAAUGAGUGGUGGAGAAGGACGGUCACAUCUGUUGUUCAGUUUCCAGCUAAUCUUCUCUCUUCCUCAUCCCUACCCGCCCCCCCCCCAUUGUAAGCUCUGGAAAGCUGGGACCCCAGGGUCCAGCCCCGGGCUGGCACUCGCAGUGUGUUCCAUGGGUGGGCUGGAUGGACCUGCUGACUCUACAGGACACACUCCUCCCGGGUGGCCAUGCCACCUGAGCACCUGGAGAUGGCACAGUAGGGCAGAGGUGGGUUUGUCCAGGUGGCUUCCUGGCUGAUAUAGGUCUAGCUCCCCCUCCUACCCCCCUGCUCCUGCCUCUGAGACUUUCCUGAGCUUCCCAGCCAGGUCAACCCCUUUUACUGCCUUUGCACCUGCACCUUCCUGUCAAUCCCCUACCCCACCUGGUGGGUACGGCUUUGUUGGCAGGUCUUUGUACCAGGGCUGGGCUAAGGACCCUGCAUCCAGGUAACAGGUGCUCAAACCUUUAGAACAAACAGAAAUCCUGUUCAGACUCUGGAGGGGAGCAGGCAGAGAGGGAGGGGGAGCGAGAAGGGAGGAAGAAAAGAGGGAAGACUUGCCUGGAACAACCUUCCGUCAGACUUUAGCACCAGUGUCUCCUUCUCGUUGUUCCUAUCUCAGCACCACAAGACCCUCCCCGGCCACCACCGUAGCUCAUGCUGCCCCUUCCCAGCCACCCUGCACUGCCCCCAUCUUCCCCCUGCGUUCCCUCUGGACACACUCAGCACCAUCCAGAAAUAGAUUGUUUAUGCACAACUGAAUAUUGCUUACAUUAUAUGUGAAAUACAAAUAUAUAGGAUAUACAUUCAUGUGUGCGUGAGCAUGCACCUGCUUUUACCACCCGAAUAUCUCUUAAAGGAAAACAGUCUUACCCAGCACUGUGCCUGGCGCACAGUGGAGGUUUAAAUAUGACUUGGAUUAGUGAAUGAAGACCCCACAGCGUGUCUCCAGUGCCAGGCCCACGUCCCUUUUGGUCUAGUAUCCCUGUCUCGCUAAUGUCCUGAAUCCGUUUGACACACGAGCGCCACUGUUUCAGAAGGAAAGGCACGUGUGUGGGCACACACCCUGUGGAAUGCCAUCUCCCGCGGCAUCCAAACUCCUAACCUGGUUUCCUGAAUGUAAUCAGGAUUAGGGUCCCCAGAUCCAGGUCCCAGCCCCACCACUGACGUGCUUGUGAUCCCUGUGGUCUUUUUGGGCUGAUUCCUCAUCUGUGAAAUCCGAGACUUGGAUCAUGUCAUUUCUGCAUUCCCUUCCAGCUUUGAAACUUUCCAUGUGAUUCUGUUUCAUGGGACCCGUGGCUGGUGGAACAGGUCCUUGUGAUUCACUGUGGACAAUGUAGGCUAGGUGCCUUCCUUCCAAAGGCUUUUCAUCUCACCUGUCAAGAUUCUUCUGGCUGCAGGUGGCUUUAGUUGCCUUUGAGGAACCCAACUACAGGGGCUCCAUGUGAACGCUGUUUAUUGGCUGGCAAAUCCGAUGAGUCCAGGGGGAGGCUGACAUAGGCCAGUUGGAUUCAGAGGCUCUGGUUGCCGUCAGCAUCUGCUCCCUCACCCCCUCCUGACAUGGGACUCAGUGCUGACUGGCUCCUAUGCCAGCUCUUCCUUUUUCUGUGGGUUUGUAGGCUCCAGGCUCCAGCCAACUUGGGGAAGAAGGAGACGUUCCUUUUCCUACUUGUUCAAAGAGAAAACAAAACCCCAGGACAUUGCAUCUCAUUGGCCCGGAGGUGGUCUCUGCGACAUCAUAUGGAAAGAAUGGGCGAGGGGGUGGGUUCCCCAGAGGAAGUCUGGGGCUGCAACGAGGAAAAGGGUGUAAUGGCUUUUGGUGGAGGACAAAGUCCAUCUCAAGUCUUUAAAAAAGCUCUCCUUUAAAACUUCCUAGCGAUUCCUUAACCUGUGAGAGGAUGGCUUGGUGGGGGAGGGGUUGGGGGAAGACCUUCUGGGGUUGGUGUGACCAUUCGCUUUCCUUCUCUGUAACAGGCUGGCACUGACCUUGAUGCUUAACGCAGGCUCCCCAGCAUCCAUCACUGUCACGUCCUUUUGGCACUAAUUAAACGGGACACCUUUGGAUUACUAGGAUGAUGGAUUGGGUCAAUGAGAUUCAUUGUGGGAUGAGUGUGAGAGGCUGGAUCUUACAGAAAUGACCUCCAAGUAGCAGAAGCGAGCCUGCUUCACCCGCGGGAGGGCUGGGGAUAACUUGGGAGCUACCCCCUCCAAAAGGCUUAGGGGGGCCUCAUUUUCCCCUUUGGAAACCCCUGUGAUGAAAUGAUGAGCUGGGAAGUGUGGUCCUUGAGUCUUGGAGUUCCCUUGUUCCAUCCGGCUCAGGUGCUGCUGCCUUAGGAGUAUCAGGAAUUUUGGAUUAUUCCUGCCGCAUCCCCACCCCCAGCCCCCGCCUCGCCAAAAGUGUAUGUGCCGGAUAAUUGUUAACUGAGUUGAGUUAAUUUCUAGGUUUCCUUUCUAUGAUAUGACCUCACUUAAAAAAAAAAAAAAA